GUUAGUCCUAUGUUUAUGAGAUAUAUGUUGAGCAUGUUAUUAUGUGCUACGUGAUGCAUGAAAACUGUUAGAUUUUGCUGGGCUGUCGAGCUCAACCUUGCAAAUAACCAUUUUUGCAGGUUAAGGAUUGAAGGCAACACUAUGUGCUACUUGAAUGACGUGGAUCAGAAAUAAUACACGAAGAUUAAUAUUUUAGCUAAAGUUGUUAUUUCUUUAUACCAUGAUUAA
rnacentral:lncRNA from 1 species